UAAUACGGAGGGUGCGAGCGUUGUCCGGAAUCACUGGGCGUAAAGGGCGCGUAGGCGGUGACUUAAGCGUGUGGUGAAAGCCCGGGGCUCAACCCCGGGUCGGCCGUGCGAACUGGGUCACUCGAGCACUGUAGAGGCAGGUGGAAUUCCGGGUGUAGCGGUGGAAUGCGUAGAGAUCCGGAAGAACACCAGUGGCGAAGGCGGCCUGCUGGGCAGUAGCUGACGCUGAGGCGCGACAGCGUGGGGAGCAAACAGGAUUAGAUACCCUGGUAGUCCACGCCGUAAACGAUGGGCACUAGGUGCUUGGGGGAACGACCCCCCGAGUGCCGGCGCUAACGCAUUAAGUGCCCCGCCUGGGGAGUACGGCCGCAAGGCUGAAACUUAAAUGAAUUGACGG
rnacentral:rRNA from 1 species